rnacentral:rRNA from 1 species
UACGUAGGGGGCUAGCGUUGUCCGGAAUCAUUGGGCGUAAAGCGCGUGUAGGCGGCUCGGUAAGUCCGCUGUGAAAGUCGGGGGCUCAACCCUCGGAUGCCGGUGGAUACUGCCGGGCUAGAGUACGGAAGAGGCGAGUGGAAUUCCUGGUGUAGCGGUGAAAUGCGCAGAUAUCAGGAGGAACACCGGUGGCGAAGGCGGGACCCUGGGCCGAUACUGACGCUGAGGAGCGAAAGCGUGGGGAGCGAACAGG